rnacentral:rRNA from 4 species
UGGUCAAGUUAUUAAGGGUGCAGGGCGGAUGCCUUGGCACUAGGAGCCGAUGAAGGACGUGAUAAGCUGCGAUAAGCUUCGGGGAGUUGCACGUAAACUUUGAUCCGAAGAUUUCCGAAUGAGGAAACUCACUUAGAGUAAUGUCUAAGUAUCAUUAAGUGAAUACAUAGCUUAAUGAGGGGAACUC